CAGCCGCCGCGGUAAUACGAAGGGGGCUAGCGUUGCUCGGAAUGACUGGGCGUAAAGGGCGCGUAGGCGGUUCACGCAGUCAGAUGUGAAAUUCCUGGGCUUAACCUGGGGGCUGCAUUUGAGACGCGUGGGCUUGAGUGUGAAAGAGGGUCGUGGAAUUCCCAGUGUAGAGGUGAAAUUCGUAGAUAUUGGGAAGAACACCGGUGGCGAAGGCGGCGACCUGGUUCACAACUGACGCUGAGGCGCGAAAGCGUGGGGAGCAAACAGGAUUAGAGACCCGCGUAGUCCCUGUCUCUUAUAC
rnacentral:rRNA from 1 species